rnacentral:rRNA from 1 species
UACAGAGGGUGCAAGCGUUAAUCGGAAUUACUGGGCGUAAAGCGCGCGUAGGUGGUUUGUUAAGUUGGAUGUGAAAGCCCCGGGCUCAACCUGGGAACUGCAUCCAAAACUGGCAAGCUAGAGUACGGUAGAGGGUGGUGGAAUUUCCUGUGUAGCGGUGAAAUGCGUAGAUAUAGGAAGGAACACCAGUGGCGAAGGCGACCACCUGGACUGAUACUGACACUGAGGUGCGAAAGCCAGGGGAGCAAACGGG